rnacentral:lncRNA from 1 species
CAGGGACCAAAAUAAAAAAGACCAGACUAGGGUAACUCUAGGUUUAGCAAAAUUUCCAUAACUGUUAAAAUGUCAACAAUUAACAAAAAUGACAAAUAGCAGUCAUAAGCAAUUGACAUAACAUUUAUAAUGACAUAUUUAGCCAUCGCCAACACCUAGACCAACAAACAAUUCCAGAAGUGUGUGAUUUCCCUCUCCAAUCAAAAGAUUAACCCAAAUGCAUCUGUGUAUCAUCAUAUCCAAGAAUUAUAGCAUCAUUCUUCAUGUUAUCAGUGAUUAGUUCACAUCUUCAUUUACAAGUAUCAGUGUUCAAUCUUGUAAUGGCUACUAACAGUUUGAUGCUUCAUUUCAGGAUUUGUUUGUGUCCGGGGAUUUGAUCAAAAGGAACGCGCACCCCGUCCUCUUCAGGCCAGAUUGCAUUUUUCAGCAAGCAGGUUAGCAAAGACAGAAAAAUAAAAACAAGAUUAACGGGACAUGUUGAGAUAUUUACCAGCAAAAGCUAAUAUUGAAGAUCCAACUUUCUAAGGUCCAAGGUGAUUGCUGCCUGAGUGACAGGAGAUCUGACAUGAAACAAAUAUACAGCAUGUUACAAAGAAAGUAGAAGAAUUUUCUGUUUAGGAUAUGAAAUCCCAUAACAAGUGGGAUUGACCUGUAAAUCAUCUCUAUUCAAGCAUGAAACAGUCAUUCAUUUUAUUAAAAUCAACUGUAACAAUUUCAUUAUUAUCAAUAGAAGUUGUCACUGAAAAUGAACACAAAUUGCAGAAUUCAAUCACAAAAGUUUAUUACUGCAUUUCACAUAGAUUUUUUUAUCAUUUUUAUACAUUAUACAUCACACACACACAUACACAUGUAUGAUAGGAAAUAUAACAACCAGAAGAACAAUAAAUGUACCUUGUAUUUAAAUAACAAUUAAGCACUCGAGUUGAGAUAUUAAUUAUGAGAGGACAGUGAUCUAAGAAGCACAGACACCUCUGUUCACAGGCAUGUCCCCGUGUUGGGCACCAACACCCAUACAACAGGUGUCAAUUGUCAAACACUUGCAGUGUUGGAUUUCAAAAAAAAAAAAUAUUGCGGCUUAAACACAUUUAGACAUGGCUUCAGCUAAAAAAGGCAUGGCUAGGGCAUUAAGUUUCAAUUUUUAUUUUAAGAAAUUCAAAAAACAAAUUUCAAAUUUUUAGACAGAUACACAGUUGCACAAAAGACUUCUUGUGUAUGCCUUUUUUAUUUCCCCAGUUUCCCUCUUCAUCUCUGGUGUGAAAUUUGGUUCCUGACUUCAGCUCAAUUUCUCGUUCUUGACUUCCAUUGCUUUCCAAUGACUUGCUCUAUUUCUAUUUCACACUCUCUAUGUGACUUUGUGCUAUAGGUUUCGUUUGACUCCAGUAUGUUUCUAACCUUCCACUUGUUCCUUUGGUUUUUUCUUUCCCUGCUUUGUAUUUGGUGUUAUAAUAUAGAGACAACACCAUCAAUAUUAUAUUGUAUACGUGUUUUCUAUCUUGCUGUUUUUUAUUUUACAAUAUAGAGAUCAGUAGUUUCUUUGUCAUGGUGUGUGUUGUAUGCAUACCAUAUUAAUAUAAAGAAAUAUAUACAUGCGUAUAUAAAAAUCUAUGUCGUGGUGCCCUAUAUUUUGGAGAUUACCUGUGCGUGUACAUGUCCAUGGGUGUCCAGUGUUCAUAUCUGUAUCCAUGCUUCAUAGACUGUUAAGUGCGACCAAUACAAACUAAGGUCAUAAUCAUCUACAAAAUUCAAGUAUAAUUUUGAAGCACAGACAUUUAAUUAAUGAUAAAUUUGGGUCAUCUUAAUUAUGCACGAAUUCAAUUCAACAACCAAAGACUGUAUUACAAGUACAAAACCCAGUCCUUCAAACACUAAUGCUACCAGACUUUUAAAAAAAAAUAUAUAUUGAUGUUAGAUAAAUCUUUGAAUUAGCAUUCAACGCAACAGUCUUUUAUUUUUACAUGGAAAAACCAUCGGUUAGGUCCAUUCAAAGAUUCAAUACAGCAAAAGGAAACCUAACUUAACAUUUAGAGCAAGAGUAGCAACAUAGAAAUUGUAUUCAAGAUUAUAUUGCAGCUAUUACUACUGGCAUAUGCGAGCAAUGUUUUCUUUCCCACUCAUCCCUUCCCCUAACACACGCAUCUGACAGUGUGCAAGAACAAAUACAAUAAAAUUAAUGCAAACAAAACAGGGCAGAGGUGUUUUUCCAUAGAAAAUCAUUAUAGCUGUCAAAAUGAGUUACAAACCAUGAGCCAACACACCGCACAGGCAGAUUGAGUUGAAAAAAAUAAAUCGACUCGGGGCACUCCAAGUUAUGGCUUUCCUUUCUUGCAGCUACCAAUCAUCGAAGUGGCUUUCCAAUUAAGUAAAAGAAUACAGCAGCAAUAGCCGUCAUAAAGCGCAAUUACAACCUAAAACUUCGACGAUCUGCAAUCAAAACCCUUAAUCAAGGUAGGCACCAUUUUACUCGCUAAUAGAUAUAAUCUGACCAGAGAGA